AUGCUGUUGCCCACCAAAUGGAGCAAGCCCAUGGCGCGCUGCCUGCUCCUCCGCCGCCACCUCACGGCCGCGGUCGCCACCGCCGCAGCCACGGCGCCGCUCCCCGCGAGGAGCGCCCACCGGGUGUUCGACAGGAGCGCGCACACCGAUCGUAUCCAGGAGCUCGCGCGGCUCGGCCGCCUGCGGGAGGCCCGGGAGGUGUUCGACGCCAUGCCACACCGCAGCAUCUUCGCCUGGAACACCAUGAUCUCCGCCUACUGCAACAGUGGGAUGCUCGAGGACGCGAGGUCCCUCGUCGACGCCAUCUCCGGAGGGAACGUGCGCACGAGCACCAUCCUGCUGUCGGGGUACGCCCGCCUCGGCCGCGUGCUCGACGCCCGCAGGGUGUUCGACGGAAUGCUCGAGCGGAACACCAUCGCGUGGAACGCCAUGGUCAGCUGCUAUGUCCGCAACGGGGACGUCACUAUGGCGCGCAGGCUGUUCGACGCGAUGCCGAGCAAGGACGUCACGUCGUGGAACUCGAUGCUCACCGGGUACUGCCACAGCCGGCAGAUGGUGGAUGCAUGGCAUCUGUUUGAGCAAAUGCCAGAGCGCAACUUGGUUUCUUGGACAGUGGUGAUCUCUGGGUAUGCUAGAAUCGAGCAGCAUCGCAAGGCUUGGGACAUCUUUUGCAUGAUGCACCGUGAAGGCGUGUCACCAGACCAGUCAAACUUCGCAUCUGUGCUUUUAGCUGUGACGGGUCUUCGGGAUCUUUGUGUUCUAGAGGGCCUACGCCCUUUAGCCCUUAAGACAGGAUUUGAGAGUGAUGUGGUCAUUGGGACAUCAAUGCUAAAUGCAUAUACUAGGGAUGCAAGUGCGCUUGACACUGCAAUGAAAUUCUUCGAGGGUAUGCCAGAGAGGAAUGAGUACACAUGGUCAACUAUGAUCUCUGCACUAUCUCAUGGUGGUCGAAUCGAUGCUGCUACUGCCGUCUAUGAAAGAGACCCUGUAAAGUCCAUUCCAUGCCAGACUGCACUGCUCACAGGCUUAGCUCGAUGUGGCAGGAUUACUGAUGCAAGGAUUUUAUUUGAUCAGAUUCCUGAUCCUAUUGUUGUGUCCUGGAACGCCAUGAUUACUGGGUAUAUGCAGAAUGGAAUGGUUGAUGAGGCAAAGGAGCUGUUCGAUAGGAUGCCUUUCAGGAACACAAUAUCCUGGGCUGGAAUGAUUGCGGGGUAUGCACAGAAUGGAAGGAGUCAAGAAGCUUUGGAUUUACUCCAAGCACAGCAUAGGAACGGGAUGUUACCUAGCCUAUCUAGUUUGACCAGUAGCUUCUUUGCUUGUUCAAAUAUUGGAGCUCUUGAGACAGGAAAACAAGUGCAUUCACUUGCGGUCAAGGCUGGUUGCCAGUUCAAUAGCUAUGUAGGUAAUGCUCUCAUUACUAUGUAUGGCAAGUGCGGAAACAUGGAGUAUGUGAGACAGGUCUUCAGUCGAAUGCGAGUGAAAGACACUGUGUCAUGGAACUCAUUUAUUUCGGCACUUGUGCACAAUAAUAUGCUGGAGGAUGCAAGACAUAUAUUUGACAAUAUGCUCAGUCGGGAUGUUGUCUCUUGGACUACGAUAAUAUCUGCAUAUGCACAGGCUGACCGGGGGACUGAGGCAGUGGAGUUUUUCAAAAUAAUGUUACACAAGCAUGAAGUACCAAAUUCCCCGAUAUUAACUAUACUUCUCAGCAUUUGUGGAAGUCUUGGUGCUCCUAAGCUUGGGCAGCAAAUCCACACAGUAGCCAUCAAACACGGAAGGGAUUCAGAACUUAUAGUCGCUAAUGCUCUCAUGUCAAUGUAUUUCAAGUGUGGUUCUGCAGAUUCUCAUAAGGUUUUUGAUUCAAUGGAGGAACGGGACAUAUUUACAUGGAAUUCCUUCAUUACAGGUUGUGCACAACAUGGCCUUGGAAGAGAGGCCAUCAAGAUGUAUAAACAUAUGAGAUCUGCAGGGGUGUUGCCAAAUGAGGUCACUUUUGUGGGGCUUUUAAAUGCAUGCAGCCAUGCUGGUUUGGUAGAUGAAGGUUGGCAAUUUUUCAAGUCAAUGAGCAGGGAUUAUGGACUGACUCCUCUGCUGGAACACUAUGCAUGCAUGGUGGAUCUACUUGGGCGAACUGGUAAUGUGGAAGGAGCUGAACAAUUUAUAUAUGAUAUGCCUAUUGAGCCAGAUGCAGUGAUUUGGAGUGCUCUUCUUGGGGCAUGCAAGAUUCACAAGAAUGCGGAAAUCGGUAGAAGGGCUGCUGAAAGACUCUUUGCUAUUGAGCCAUCAAAUUCUGGCAACUAUGUCAUGUUAUCAAAUAUAUAUUCUUCUCUAGGGAUGUGGGUAGAAGUUGCGGAGGUACGGAGAAUUAUGAAACAACAAGGUGUCACAAAAGAGCCUGGCUGUAGCUGGAUGCAGAGUAGGAACAAAGUGUACUCAUUUGUCACUGGAGAUAAACAGCAUGAGCAAAUUGAAGAGAUAGAAUCUACCCUCCAGGAUUUGUACACUUCAUUAAGGACUGCAGGCUAUGUGCCUGACACUGAAUUUGUUCUCCAUGACAUCGAUGAAGAGCAGAAGGAGAGUUCCCUUCUGUAUCACAGUGAGAAGCUUGCUGUUGCUUAUGGCCUUCUUGUUACACCCCAGGGCAUGCCUAUACAGAUAAUGAAGAACCUUAGGAUAUGUGGUGACUGUCACACUUUCUUCAAGUUUGUGUCACAAGUCACCAAGAGAGAUAUUGACAUUAGGGAUGGAAAUCGGUUUCAUCAUUUUAGGAAUGGAAGUUGUUCAUGUGGUGACUUCUGGUGA
rnacentral:rRNA from 1 species